rnacentral:rRNA from 1 species
UACGGGGGGGGCAAGCGUUGUUCGGAAUUACUGGGCGUAAAGGGCUUGUAGGUGGCCAACUAAGUCAGACGUGAAAUCCCCAGGCUCAACCUGGGAACUGCGUCUGAUACUGGAUGGCUAGAGGUUGGGAGAGGGAUGCGGAAUUCCAGGUGUAGCGGUGAAAUGCGUAGAUAUCUGGAGGAACACCGGUGGCGAAGGCGGCAUCCUGGACCAAUUCUGACGCUGAGGAGCGAAAGCCAGGGGAGCAAACGGG